UAGGAAAAAGAGACCGUAGCCUUGAC
rnacentral:piRNA from 1 species